rnacentral:rRNA from 1 species
CAAUAGCGUAUAUUAAAGUUGUUGCAGUUAAAAAGCUCGUAGUUGGAUUUCUGGUAGGAGUGACCGUUCCGAACUUGAUUGUUCGUGUAUUGUGUUUUCUCCAGCCAUCCUUGUGGAGAACUUUUCUUGCAUUAAUUUGUAGGGAUUGGGACCCGCAUCGUUUACUGUGAAAAAAUUAGAGUGGUUAAAGCAGGCAAUCGCUUGAAUACAUUAGCAUGGAAUAAUAAGAUAGGACUUUGGUACUAUUUUGUUGGUUUGCAUACCAAAUUAAUGAUCAACAGGAACAGUUUGAGGAUAUUCGUAUGAACAUGUCAGAGGUGAAAUUCUUGGAUUUUGAUCAGACGAACUACUGCGAAAGCAUUUAUCAAGGAUGUUUUCAUUAA